rnacentral:lncRNA from 1 species
GAGGCCCAGCUAGUUCCAGCAGUGUUUUGUUAGCCAUGGCUGUAGCUAGAGGAAUCACUGUGUAAUUUUGGUGCAAAAUAAGGCAACGUUUAUCUGAGGAGUAUUUUUGCCCUCUGAAUUUUAGGAAACUGGAAUUGUGCUAGUUAUACUCUUACUCUGUGGAGAACUCUAACUUUGUUCCUGAAGUUGAUCUCCAAAUCUUGUAAAAGCUCUGGGUAAGUAUCCAUCUUUUUAGAAGUUUUGAGUAAGCCUGUGCAGAGUUAAAGGACUUUAAAGGAAUGUUUAGGUCAGGGAACAAGACAUAUUUGUUUUGCUAUUUUUAAAAAAAAAAGCUUAACAAUUUAAAAUAGCAGAAACAGUAGAAACACUUUGAAGAAUAAAAUAGUCUUUAAAAAUGAAGUAAUUUUUACACAUAAGCAGUUUGGGUCUGGAGUUUUGUUCUUUAGAGGUAUUUGGUGUGGCUACAAAGUCAGUAUUUUAUUAGUAAAUAGACACAAGAAAAGUUCAUACAGUUCCUUCCUUUGGUAAGUCUACUUGUCUUGGGAAUAAGAAAUUUUACUCCCCUUUCAAAAUUCAUCUUUCUCAUUUAUUUGAUAGGUGCUGUUUAUUGAAUAUUCCUAAUAGAACAAAUAAAAUAAUGCUGUUGGGGUGUUUUGCAAUUUAUUACACCCACUUGACUCAAUUGGUUAUUUUUCUAUGAUGUUUAUUUAGAUUUGUAAAGUGUUACAUAGUAAGAAUUGGUAUGACCUGGUUUGCACUUUUCCUGAGGACUGGGGUUGGUGUAUAUGUAUGUAUGUAUGUAUGUGUGUGUGUGUGUGUGUGUGUUUUAUUGUAUGUGUAGAAUUAUCCUCAUUGAUAUCUUUUAUUUUAAACAAAACUAAACAAAUUAUACUUAAGUUCAGGCUCAAAGUUGACAUUAUGUUUCAGAGAGAAAUUUUUUUCUUACAUAUGUUGCAGAAAUGUUUGUUUGUAAUGACUCUUUGAGAAAGGGAUGUUUUAAGUUGUACCCUUACAUUUGAGAUAUGAAGUGUAAGAGGCAAAAAUGGAAUUUUAAACAUUAGAAACUAGCUUCUCAAUUGUUUUCCCCCUAAACUGGAAGUUAUGUAUGUAUUAUUAUAAAAUAAAUCUAAAAUGUAUCUUUACAAAUCUUAUGACAAAUCUAAUCAAUUAUAAAGUCACCAUCCUAAGAAAAACUUUUUCUUGCUCUUACAUUAUUUGAACAGAUUCUAUUUUUAGAGGGAAAGCCCAGACUAGAUGACAAUAUAACAUCAAUGAAGUUUGAGAAAAUAUUUGUAGACAUUAAUUAGUUUGGAUUAUAAAAGUAUUCCUAUAAAUAGUUGGUUUUUACAUUGACCUAUUUUUUAUUGCUUACUACAGAAAAUAAUGUAACAAUUUCUGUAAGCUUUUAAAGAACAGUUAAAGGAUCUAUGAUUCUUAAAAGUGAGCAUUUUUAGUUUUGCCAUGUGAAUAAAUGUGAUAGAGAAGAGUGAAGAGAUAAAACAUGCUGUUUGGACUGGAGAUCUAAAUUCAAAGCUUUCGUGGACUGGUGAGCUGUUAAGACAAAAUAAAGAUUUAUUAUUGCUCAGUCCAAAGAGAAAACUUAAAUGAUGUCUUUAAGUAUAGUGAUUAGUAGGGGAAAGAAGUUGUGUAUCAGUGGUCAUAGGCCAGGGCUUUUUCCCUACUAUUUCUUGAAUAUUAAGGGCAUCCAUGGUUUAGUGCCCAGCUCAAUUUCUAGGUAUAAAUAUGAUUUACAUGUAAAAUAUGGGGGCUCAAUGGAAGUAUACUUGUUUAGCAUGCAUGAGGCCCUGCAUUUGAUGCCUAGCAACUAAAAAAAAUUAAAAAAAAUUAGAAAAAAUAAAAAGCUUUUAGAAGUAAAAUAUAAAGUCCUUUAAAAGUCUUGUUUGUAGCACCUGCAAAAGGAAAAUAAUAUAUAAAAUUAUAUAAACAUUAUGACAGUACCUUUUUAGUGAAUUAUGCUUUUUUGGUGGUGGUGGGGACUGGGGAUUGAACUCAGGGGCACUCAACCACUGAGCCACAUCCCCAUCCCUAUUUUGUAUUUUAUUUAGAGACAGGACCUAGUGCCUUGCUUUUGCUGAGGCAGGCUUUGAACUCAUGAUCUUCCUGCCUCAUCCUUCCAAGCUGCUGGGAUUCCAGGUGUGCGUCACCAUACCUGGGGAAUUUUGCUUUUUUGUUGCAGCCAUUUAUGAUUUCUGUAACAUGUUUCAUUAAAAACAUAUGUGAAUACUUUUGAUACUUGGCUUUAUGGAAAUCUCUUUUUAGCAUUGAUUAGUCAGUCAGAAGAUUGAAAAUUGCAGGUAAAUAGUGUCAGUCCUUUCAAAUCAAUUUAUUUAUUGGAAGUUUUAAUUAGUUUAGGCAAAGUUCAGAUAGCCUCAUAGGCAGGAAGCCCAAUUGUCUAUGAAAUGAUGUUUCCACUUUGCAUUAAAUGAAAACAGUUCUCUCCUAGUCCUGGCACAUUGCUUUCGUCCUUUUCUUAGAGCCCCUGGAGAACAAGUAACUAUUGCUUCUUGCAGCAGCAUGGUGUGCCUGUGAGUCCUUGUCCUAGAUUUGUUACAGAAGGAUAUAGUAAUGUUUUCAAAACAUGAUCAUACAAUUCUCAAAUCAACAACAAUGAAUGCAUCAUAUGUUACUUUUAUAAAUAAGAUAGAUGUUAGGAAAUUAAACCACCUAUGGUGGAUGGCAUAAAGUAUUGUAAAAUAUCAAACGAUUCACUUUAAGAAUUUCUUUCUUUUUCUUUUUUCACCCACUAAUCACAAAGCAACUCAGUCUGGGUUUCUCAGGCUAUAUUUGCCUAGAGGAGUAGGACUAUGAAUAUGAAUACAUAAUUAUAAUCCUCCAUUCUGGAGGGCCCAAGCAGCACUUGCCUACCCCAGUGGUGGUCCCUGAUGCUCACCUUCCGUGUAAGUGUUCCAGCUGCACUACUGUCACUUCUGGCUCCUGGUGUUUAGGACCUCUGUCUCCUCUUCCCACUGAUUGCUGCUGUUGGGACAUGAAAGAAUGUCUUCAGGGAGUCUGUAUAGUCAUUGUCCUGGGGGCAGGCCAGGACUGCAGGCCCAGCUGGUCAAGUCCCAUUGGGUCUUUCUGCUAAUUAUAUCCAGAUUUUCCACUUUAAAAUUAUGACCUAGCUGGGCAUGGUGGAGCACACCUGUAAUCCCAGCAACUCAAGAAGCUGCGGCAGGAUUAUCACAAAUUUGGUAUCAGCCUCAGCAAUUUAGUGAGGUCUUAAGCAAUUUAGUGAGACCCUGUCUCAAAAUAAAAUAUAAAAAGGGCUGUGGAUGUGGCUUAGUGGUAAAGCAAUACUAGGUUCAAUCCACUUACCAAAUAAAUAAAUAAAUAAAUAAAUAAACUUAUCUGUAAUGAAAUUGAUGGUGCUCUUACCACAUUUUAGCACAAGGUGAGGGCUCAUUUAUGAGUUUUAUGAUCUUAAUACUAGUUACCUUGUUUAUACCUGAGGAUAAUAAUAGUAAGCAUCUCAUAGAAUUGUUAUGAAGACUAACUGAGAAAGAGGAGCAAGGCCCCAGUGAUCAUCUGCUUGCUCAGCACGUUGAAGAUAUUUAGUUAUAGCCCUCUGUUGCUGCUGAUUCUGUAAUCCCAACUUUGUUCUAUGACCCAAUCAGCUGUUUCUCUUGAGUUAGUUUCUGGAUUGAUAGUUUUUAAAAAAUGCUUCUGUUCAUAUAUUUGUUGAUUGAUUAUAUAUCCUCUUCUGAGAUGUGUCUGUUCAAGUCCUUGGCCCAUUUGUUGAUUGGGUUAUUUGUUGUUUUGGUACUUAGUUUAUUGAGUUCUUUAUAUAUCCUAGAGAUUAGUGCUCUGUCUAAUGUGUGAGGGGGUAAAAAUUUGCUCCCAGAAUGUAGGCUGUUUAUUCACCUCACAGAUUGUUUCUUUUGCUGAGAAGAAACUUUUUAGUUUGACUCCAUCCGAUUUAUUGAAUCUUGAUUUUAAUUCUUGUGCUAUAGGAGUCUUAUUAAGGAAGCUGGGGCCUAAUCCCACAUGAUGAAGAUUAGGGCCUACUUCUUCUAUUAAACGCAAAAUCUCUGGUGUUCAUCAUCUAUAGCAAUUAGAGAAAUGCAAAUCAAAACUACUUUAAGGGGCUGCGAUUAUGGCUCAGUGGUAACGCGCUUGCCUAGCAUGCGUGAGGCACUGGGUUCGAUUCUCAGCACUACAUACAAAUAAAUAAAAUAAAGGUUCAUCAACAACUAAAAAAAAAAAAAAAAACUACUCUAAGAUAUCAUCUCAUUCCAGUCAGAAUGGCAGCUAUUAUGAAGACAAACAACAAUAAGUGUUGGUGAGGAUGUGAGGAAAAAGAUACACUCUAGUGUACAUUGCUGGUGGGACUACAAAUUGGUGCAGCCAAUAUGGAAAGCAGUAUGGAGAUUCCUUGGAAAUCUGGGAAUGGAACCACCAUUUGACCCAGCUACCCUCUCCUUGGUCUAUACCCAAAAGACUUAAAAACAGCAUACUACAGGGACAUAGCCACAUCAAUGUUUAUAGCAACACAAUUCACAAUAGCUAAACUGUGGAUCCAACCUAGAUGUCCUUCAGUGGAUGAAUGGAUUAAAAAAAAAUGUGGCAUAUGUACACAAUGGAAUUUUACUCAGCAAUAAAAGAGAAUAAAAUCAUGACAUUUGCAGGUAAAUGGAUGGCGUUGGAGAAGAUAAUGCUAAGUGAAGUUAGCCAAUCCCAAAAAAACAAAUGCCGAAUGUUUUCUCUGAUAUAAGGAGGCUGACUCAUAAUGGGGUAGGGAGGGGGAGCAUGGGGGGAAUAGGUGAAUUCUAGAUAGGGCAGAGGAGUGGGAGGGAAAGAGAGGGGGCAGGGGAUUAGCAAGGAUGGUGCAAUGUGAUAGACAUCAUUAUUAAAAGUACAUGUAUGAAGACACAAAUUGGUGUCAACAUACUUUAUAUAUAAAACCAGAGAUAUGAAAAAUUUUGCUGUAUAUGUGUAAUAAGAAUUGUAAUGCAUUCCGUCAUUUAUUUUUUAAAAAAUCAAUUAAAAGAGACAAAAAAUGCUUCUGUUCUCCUUUUUCAUACUUGCUUACAUAUUUUUCCUCUGUAUAUUUUCUAUUUUCCUUCAAUUCUGAGAAGUAUAAGACGUAAGGCAGCAGGAGCUCCAUUUCUGGUCAGAAUGAGGAAGUUUUUAUUAUAUUUUCUAACUUGACUGGUUAUCUCUUUAUACUCUGUGCCUACUGUCAUGAUUUUUCUGGAACUUCUUAAACCUCAGGGUCAUUUCAAAGCCAAAUCACUAAUCUCUGCACAAACCUUGUUUUAUUGAUUUUUUUGUACUGUAGAAAAGGACUUUUUAUGUUGCAUUUCUAGUUUCUUACCAUCAGCUAAUAAAUUCAUUGAGUCAUACUAUUAGAAAGUCAUAGUACUUGAUGUGGAUGUGGAGGAGUGGAAUGAUGACCAAGAUAUGGUCUCUGUCCUCAGUAUUUUUAGGUAUUUAGCAUAAAAGGAAAGAGGAAAAAUACACCGCCAACUCUAGUCCAAAAUAUAAUGUGUAGAGCAAAAAGGACUCAAACAGUACUAAAGAAGGAGAUGAGAGAAAGCUUUAAAUUUACGGUGGUAGUUAUUGAGUUGCAUUUCGCUGUAGAAAUUCCCAGGCUGUUGGUGAAUGUGGGAAUGUGAAAACCCUUGAUGCCUUCAGAAAACUGCCAUGUGUUUGACAGGAGGGUAGAAAAGGAAGAAAAGGUAUAAUCUGUUGGUCUUAAGUUGGAAUUCAUUUUUCAAGAUAAAUAAUAAUUGAAACUCUGAUCCAUUACUUAUAUAGAAAAGGAUUGGAGCUGGGUGUGGUGGCACAUGCCUCUAAUUCCUGCAACUUGGGAGUUCUGAGGUAGAAGGCUUACAAGUUGGAGGCUGGCCUGGGUAACUUAGUGAAACCCUGUCUCAAAAAUAAAAUACCAAAAGGACUGUGGGUGUAGCUCAGUGAUAAGUGCUGUUGGGUUUAAUCUCUAGCACCACACACUGCAUAAAAAGGAUAGGAAAUAAUAAUAACCAGGUAGCACACAACCAAUAUUUAAAGUAUGUUAACUUUAUAAUAACUUUAAUAAACUUUUCAUAUAAAUGUUUUCUCCUUUUAAAAUUAAACUAUAUUUUUGUAAUACUUUCAGAUUUGCAGAAAAAAUUAUGGCAGUAAUAUAUUUUCUGUUUUCAUGUACUUUAUACUCCCUUAUUGACAUCUUAUGUGGUAUGUAAGAUGGCACUUACCAUAUGGUAUUGUUGUUACAAUUAACGGACAAAUAUUUGUACAUUAUUAUUAACUGAAGUUCAUACUUUAUUCAGAUUUUCUUAAUUUUUAUCUAAUGUCCUUGUAUUAUUCUAAAAUACCACAUUACACUUAAUAUAAUAGUCAUGUCUCCUUAGACUCCUCUUGGCUGUGGCAGCUUUCAGUACUUUCUCUGAUUUUGAUGACCUUGACUGGUAUAUUGGUCAAGAUAUCUGUAGACUCUCCCUUAGUUGAGAUUUUUUUUUUUUUUUUAUAUUUUUCUGGAACUGUUGGUCUUUGGGAGGAACACCACAGAGGUAUUGAUUAAUACAAAAGUUGUGUGCUUAGUCAGAUCAGGCUGCUCUAAUAAUUUAGGUAGUUUUUUUUUUUUUUUUUUUUUGUACUGAGGAUUGAACUCAGUAGUACUCAACCACUGAGCCACAUCCUCAGCCCUAUUUUAUAUUUUAUUAAGAGACAUGGUCUCACUGAGUUGCUCUGCACCUCCUUUGUUGAGGCUGGGUUUGAACUCACAAUCUUCCUGUCUCAGCUUCCUGAGCUGCUGGAUUACAGGAGUGUGCCACCAUGCACAGCUCCAGAUUGGGGGGUUUAAGAUACAUUUAUUAGUCAGUUCCAGAAGUUGGCAAGUCCAAGAUCAAGUGCUGGCAGAUCUGGUGUCUGGUGAAGGCCUGCUUCCCGGAGUCCCUCACCUCUAAAUAUGAUCACACUAGAGCUUAGAUUUCAAUGUAUGAAUCUGGGGGAGAAACAACAUUCAGUUCAUAAUAUUGUGGUUUGGCCUUCUAGACUGAUUGUUGCAGGUUGUGGGCCAGAGGUCUGUUUUUAUAUAUGGUGUGGUUAUUGUUUGUUUUUAUAUUCAGCUUUCACCCUCCUCAUGGGUAGAGAAUCUUCAUCAAUUUUGGUAUGUUUUUUGGGUAUGAGUUGUUGUUUUUAUGAAUUAAAACCAUCAUGCUAGUUUAGGGAAGACUUUACUUUGUUCAGAACUUUACUGAGAAUUUACCAUUUUGGAAACUCAUGACUUCACAAGCAAUACCAUUCAUAGUAUCUGAGUCUCUAAUACACCUGUAUCAGUCUGCAUUUGUAGGGUUUGCAUUCAUGGUGACUCAUGGGUACAAAUAUCUGUCUACUUCAUAAAGUCACAAAAGUAUUUGCAUUUUUUUUUGGGGGGGAGUACCAGGGAUUGAACUCAGGGACACUCAACCAGUGAACCACAUCCCCAGCCCUAUUUUGUAUUUUAUUUAGAGACAAGCUCUCACUGAGUUGCUCAGCACCUUGCCGUUGCUGAGGCUGGCUUUGAACUCACAAUCCUCCUGCCUUAGCUUCCCGAGCACUGGAAUUACAGGUGUGCGCCACUGCUCCUGGCAGAAUUUGUAUUUUUAAUACAAUUAAAUUGUUUUAAUUAGGGCCAGGAUGAAGUAAGACAAGUGAGGUUGCCUUGCUACAAAAUUUAAGGAGAGACUCUUAGGGUCCUGCAAGUUCAAUUUCAGUGCUUAAAUUUUGCACCAUAAGCACCUUGUAUACCUCAUCCUAGUCCUGAUCUUAUGACACGUGAUUUUCUGUUCAUAACUUUUUUAUAUUGUAUCUAGGAUAUUGUGUUGAUUUUGAAAAAAAAAUGUGUGGGGAUUGAACGAUUAAGUUUGUUAAAGUACAAAAAAAAUGUGUGUUUAAAAUGAUCUGUUUAUAAAAGAAAGUGUUUGUUAGAUCUGAGAAUCACCUCUUUAGUGCACAUAUGUGGAAAUAUCCAUUUCUGGGCUGUAUGAACAUCUUCUAUUUUAUUAGGUAUUGCCAGAUAGCUUUACAGAAUGGCUCAUCAGUCAUGCAGUGCUACAGUAAUGUCACAUUAAACAAACAAACAAAAUGCUUCAAUAUAGUGGUUUAAAGCAAUAAGUAUUUAUUUUUCCCUAUUAGUUUGUGGGAUAUUGCAAAUCAGAUAAGCUGGACUGGAUUCUAAACUCCAGAUUCUGGGUUCCAGUCUACAAAUUUGAUUGAGGUUGGGUUCAGGUCCACUCCAUUUCUCUUAUUCUCUUGGACAAACAACUAGUCAGGACAAGUUCUUCUUAUGGGAAAUUGCAGAAGCAAAAGAACAUAGGUGAAAAUACGUAAAACCUCAUGUGUGUCACGCCUAGAACUGGCUCAACUGCAUAGGCCAGAGCAAGUUACAUAGCCAAGUCAACAUAUGUGGGGUAGGGAAAUAUGCUGUGCUCAUUGUAGUGGGUGAUAUUGCGAAAUCAUUUGGCAAAGAUGUGGAUUAUAAUGCUAAUACAGGGAAGAUGUCAACAUUAUGAAUAAUGAUUCAGUUUACCACAAUGAUAUUACUGUUAUAUAUUCUAUCUGUAACAUAUACAAAUUCCUAUUUUUCAACAUCUUCACCAACUCUUGAUGUUACCAGAUUUUAUCAUUUUUGUUUGUUAGAUUAGUGGGUGUCAAAUGACAUAUUGUUAUUUUCAUUUCCAUUUCCAAUUUCAUGUCCUAAAAUAAAAUGUAUUCGUUUUAAAAGAUUAUUUUUUUCCUCCACUAUGAAGUCAGGUAGUGAGAAUGAUGAACUUUUUGUGACAAAAAUAAAAAUUUGGAAUUUGAGUUUUUUAUAAGUAUAAUUAGUUACAAACUUUAACUACCAACUCAUUUCUAUUUUCCUUUUGCUUACAUGUGUCAGAUAUUCUGAGAAUCAUUAAAAUGUCUAGACUCUAUUCAUGAAAGGCCCAUUUGUUCUAAACUCUCAUUCUGUAGACAGGAUGCAUUCAUAAUUUUCUUCCCACUUCUCAGUAGUCUAAUUUUACUAAACCCAUUUAGUAAGUGAAGUAUAGGAAUUGUAGUCCAGAUUUCCUCUUUGAAAACAUGACUCUAUACCAAAAUAUGUGGAUAUUGUUAGUUUCAGUACAUGAAUUUCUAUGCAUUUCUCUGGGAAAUAAACUCCUUAUUUACUGGCACUCCUCUGAUAUAGAGGCAGUUCUAACUGAAGAGCACCAUCCAGGUGAGAGCAGGGUGAGAAUUCAAAAGGCACUACAAAAUUAUUUUUGCCUUGUGAAUAUCAUCUCAUUUAUUCUAGGGUCUCAUAGGUCAUUUCUAGGAUUGGAGUAUUUCAAAAGAAAUAUUGGCUCUACAUACCAAAAAAAAAAAAAAACUUAACAGGAAUUUUAUUCUCCACAGCUAUAUCAUAAGACCAUAAGUUUUAUAACCCAAGCAACAGUUCUAGUGGCCCAUUUUGUCUUCUGCUUCUCAUAAACUAUUACUGUCAGUUAUCUCUCCUAUUCUUGGUCAGCUGGGCUUUUGCCAUCCUGAUUUGAUCUGCUUUAGUAAGUUAUCACAAAUAUUGACUCAACUCCUCUGCAGUAAGCCAUUUCCCUCCUCCUACCCUCUCAAGUCUGAUGAUGCUACUCAGGUUGAGUUCUCUGUUCAUCUUUAUUCUUCUCCAUCACAAAAACCCUAGAACUAUGGACUAGGACUAGGGUUAGUGGCUUGAUGGAUUGAAAUUCUAGGGAGAACAUCAGUUUGAAUUCUCCUUGUCAGCUUGUCGGCAAGAUGAUGGCAUCUACACACAUACCAACAUUUGUGCCAUUUCUGUCACAAAAGGAAAUAAUGACUACUUUUUGAUUCUACUUUUUGGUUCUAGCAGCUCCUAGGCAGGAACCAUCCUUCAGAAAGAAGAAUAUGGAUAAGAGGCAGGGCUUUUCAGAGGUGCUAUUGGCUUCUGUAGGAAUCAAGGGGCACCAUGUUGCCAGAGAAGGUCUCUUCUGUAUCCUUAAGGAGUCUGUUUCUCUCACAGAUAGGAAAAAGGCCUCCUCUGUGUCAGGGGCUGGUAUAUUUCAUCGGGCUAGAACAGCAUAUUCUCUUAUGACUUGAUACUCCAGAUGUUAGGAUAUUUUCUGUGUGAUACUUUGAAUUUAUAGUGGGAUUUCUAAAACUCUCAAGGUCAGUUUUGGUGCAUUUCCAUCCCUAAAAUCCAACUCCUUUGCACCAUUGUCUUUACUGCUGCUAAAUCAGGGUGAACAUCCCUGUUUCAUUCUAAAUAGGUGAUUUUAAUCUGGAGCAUAGCUGACUUACAUUCAUAUUCUGUAUGGUAAUGGAGUUUGAAUCUUGAGGCCACAAUUUCAGUGGGUUGGUUGGGCAUACUAGGAUUCUCUUAGAUAGCUAGUCAUUAGUUACUUGCUUUAUUCUUCAACAUCAAUAAAUUUUAUCCUGUCAGGUAAUCAGGGAAAGGUUAGUUCACUAAUGCCAGUAGCUUACCUGAGCCAUUCUCUGGCCCCUUCUGGCCAGCCUCACAUCCUUUGGUAAGAUAGGUAACUUAUGGGCCUUUGGCAGACAUCUUCAAGGAAAGGAACCAUGAGUUAUGAUGGCUGGGCCAGCGUGUAUGGAAUAUGUCUCUUACUAGAAUAAGGGAGAGGUUACUUAAUAAUAUACAGGUGCAAGCUUUUCUGAUGUCCUCAUAUCUCCUUUCCCCAGGGACACCAGUUUCUACUGGGGCUGGUGAAGAUGUAUCCCACUUCUGGUAUUUUAAUUUCUGCAUCCUGAAAGAUAACAGAAGAAAACAAAGAUAAAAUGGACCAGUUGGAUUCUAGAAAAAAGGCUCUGGGCUGAAACUUUUCAUGAGAAUAGUGGGGGAAAUGAAAAGCUUUAAUAUUUGUUAUGGAGGUAAUUAUGGCUGAUAAAUAUAGAGAACUAUGUUAAUGAAGGUCCUAGAAGGAAACGGAUCAUACUUCCAAGCUGGUAAUUUAGGAGAAUUUAAUAAAAGUGAUGUUUACAAAGAUGUGGGUAGGAUAAUAAUGAAGAAUAUUUUAUUGUUAACAAAGGAUCACUUUGUUGAUUCAGUUCACUGACUUCACAUUUUUCUCUUCUUCCUGGUAGAACUUAAUUUUGCUAAAGGAUCCUUCAUUUUCACAGUUCAUAAUAAUCAUUUUCUAUUCUUUCUUUUACAUGUUUAGUUAGAAAAUCUUGUCAAAUUGAUAGUGUCUCAUGAUCUCUUUUCAAUUUCUCUUCUGCCUUUAUUUCAGCCCUCAUAAUCUUAUUACAGUAAUCUCCCAACUGAUCUUCCUGCCUCUAAUCUCUUCUAAUCUUCCCUGCAACUAGGAUAUUGCUUUCAAAUCCUUUAAUAUCUUUCUGUUGCCUAGCAAAUAAAAUAAAGACAUCUAAACCUAAUGUCUUAGGCCUUUACCAUUAGUACCAGUGAACCAUUUUAGCUUGAAGCUCAGUACUUUCCUUCAGGCUUAUAUUCUUAAUCGUUUAAAAAAUUCUUCACUUUUGUUAUCAUGGAGGUCAGAUGAUUUAUCUGCAAUUUAGAUGCCUUUCUUUAGUUUACCUGAAUACAGAUUAUUUCAAAUACCUCAGGUCCUAAAUACCCCCACAUAACCAGAUGUCUCCAUCAUCUCCUUGUCCUGUGGUUCCUGAGAGCCUUCACCUUUCCCUCCAUAGUUUUAUUGCUACAUUAUGAUACAUCCAGGUCUGUCAGCCCCUGGGCUCUGAGGUUCCCUGGGUCUUUUACUCUCAGUGCAUGUUCCUGUGUAACGUGAGCUCUUUUAUUUGAUGUUGGUCAAAAGAAGCAACGGACAGUUUAUAUGAAGGACCAUCUAGUAGUCCUGACUCAAAAUUUUUAUUUUAAGGUAAUCUCAAAUUUAAAGAAAUUUAUUGCAAUUUUGCUACUGUUUUUUUCCAGGGCCAUUUGAGAAUACAUUGAUGAUGUGGUUGGUGCUCUAUUACUCUGAAAAACUUUGGUGUGUGUUCCCUAUAAACAAGGACAUUCUUACGCAACCACAGUACAACCAUGAAAAUGAGAAAUUAAUUAUUAAUCAGAAAUUGGUACAGUACCACCAUCUAAUUCUCAGAUCCUGUUCAAGUUUCACCAGUGGUUUCAAUAAUGUAUAGCAAAGUAAUCCAGUCUAUAAUACUAUCUUGCAUUUAUUUGGUUGCUAUGUCUCUCUAGACUCCUUUAGUCUGGAUUAGUUCCUCAGUCUUUCCUUGACUUUCAUGACAAGAAAUAUUUCUGAGGAGGCACUUUUAAACUAUGUAAUUUCUUCAUCAGGUUUUAAUGUAUUCUUUAAUUCUUUAACCACUUUGGAUUCUUAGUUUCCUGUUUUAUUCUGUGGACUUGUUGUUUCAUUGUUAUUUUGAUAAAUUAUCUCAUAUUUUAUCCUGCAGGAGCCUCUGUAAUCUGAUGUCUGCAUUCUCUUGACCUAUCCCAUCAUUCUUUAAGAACUUGACUACUUUCUAAGAUGUUCAACUUCUUAUACUUAAGAACCUAUUCCAGUCUUGGAAUCAGCCAUUUCUCUCCAAGGCUCCCUUUUUCCUGUUACUUAUUUAUUUUUUGGUGUUGGUGAUUGAACCCAGGGGUGUUUUACCAUGAGCUACAUCCCCAGCCCUGUUAAUUUUUUCUUUAAAGAUUGAUGUGAUUUUUUUCAUACUUUUAUUUUAUUUAUUUAUAUAUGGUGCUGAGGAUCGAACCCAGCGCCUUGCACAUGCUAGGCGAGCGCUCUACCGCUGAGCCACAGCCUCAGCCCCCCUAGCCCUGUAAAUUUUUUAUACUUUGAGACAGGGUCUUGUUAAAUUGCUUAGGACCUUAGCUUUCUGGGAUUAUAGGUGUGCAUCUCUGUGCUGUUUUAGAUCACAAGAUAUACUUAUUGCCAUUUGGGAGUUGCUGCUCCUAAUCCUCUCAGGGGACAGAGCAAGGGAGUAUAAAACAUAUAUAGACAUAUGAAUAUUUUAUUUGUAAAUUCUUUUUGUAUCUAGCUCUUAUUUUCCUUUUUCUCUUGAAAUUAUGAGUUCAUGUUAAUAUCUCAAAUUCCAAUCUUAUCUUCAGAAUCUACUUGGGCUCUAACAUCUGAGGCAGGGCUGCUCCAUGUGUAGAUGCCCUCUUACCCUGCUCUCCACCCCUCUCUGUGUUGUACUCCAGAAUAGGUGUUUAUCUUAGUUGGCCCCAAAUAUGGCUCAAGAACUGAAUUAGUUAGGAAGGGAAAGAGAAAGAAGAUGAGGGAGACCACUUUUUUGGGGGAGAGAGAGGUAUUGGGGGGGGCACUCAACCACUGAACCACAUCCCCAGCCCAAUUUUGUAUUGUAUUUAGAGACAGGGUCUCACUGAGUUGCUUAGCACCUGGAUAAAUUGCUGAGGCUGGCUUUGAACUCUCAAUCCUCCUGCCUCCGCCUCCUGAGCCACUGGGAUUACAGGCAUGCGCCACUGUGCCCAGCAGAGGGAGACCCAACUUUUAUCAUCUAUUUCUACUUCCCUUCCUUUCUUUUUUUGAAAAUCUAAAUAAUCCAUUAAUCAAUUACUGCAGACCCGGGGGAUUUCAAUAGCAGUCUCUUUUUGACUCCUAAAAGUCAUGUCCUCUUUCAUUAAGCUAUUCCUUCACCUUUUUCUUAUAGCCUUGAUUCCUAAGGUACUUUUGACAUAAUUCUGUGAAUAUGUAAGGACAUGAAGAAUUGGACCUUGUUACAAAGAGCAUGCAGGAAACAUCAUUCUGAAUGUGAGCUCCACAUUGCACACAUUUUUUUUUUCUCUCUCUCUGUGGAUUGUAUUUGUGUCUGUGUUUGUGCCGGAGAGAGAAGAAAUUUUUUAAAGUUUGGAUAACUAAUUUAUAAAGGCUUCUCUUGUUUUGAAGGGGGUCUUUGUUUUUUCAGUUUCAGGAAAUUUCUCCUUUUUUGCCUGGAAUAGGUUAUAGAUUAAGCAGCCUCUCCCUGUGUGGUAGAAGAACCACUGGUUGUCAGCUUCUGCACUAGUCUGCAAGAAAUUCAGGGACAGGACUUGUAGGCUCUGUGAGAACUGGGUAUGUCUCUUGUGGACACAUUUGUGUGCCUAGCCCCAGCACUAUGCUCUAUCACCCAAGAGGCCCUGAUGUCAGUUAACAUUAGUUUGCCAGCCCUGGUUUGUUCUUGGGUCUGAUAGCAAAGUCCAUGAUCUUUUCACUACACCUUGCCAUGUUUAGGACAGGAUGGGCUCUGUCUCCUUAAACUAGUAUAUGGUGAUUUCUAAGUCUGAGAGAUUAUUAUCUAAUAUCAUAUCUUUCUUAUCCAUGUUGGAGUCUGUUAUUUAUGGCCUAAACUCAGUGCUCAGUGAUUUUGUAGAUACUUCAACUAUUAUAUUAUUUGUUCUCUCAUUUUUUUCAAGUACCCACUAAUAGAUGAGAGGUAACUUCAUCAUUUAAUGUCUGUGUUACAUAAGUUGUUUAAUAUCUUAGGGUCACUUUUCUUAACUUUCACACAGGGGAUUUUAAUUACUUCUUUACUGAUUUUCUGUGAGGUACAGCUUAUGUAAAUAUGCUCCCACAAGUGGCAGAUCGGGUGCUCAGUAUGGGUAUCAUUUGUUUGCUUGCACUUGAAGAAGUUCACAAAAGGAUGUUAAGACAGUUGAAAUGCACUAUCCCAACCACUAUUCGUUGUUGGGUAUUUCAUAAAAACCGGUGUUGGUGGGGCACGGUGGCGCACGCCUGUAAUCCCAGCGGCUCUGGAGGUUGAGGCAGGAGGAUUGUGAGUUCAAAGCCAGCCUCAGUAAUUUAGCGAGGUGCUAAGCAACUUAGUGAGACCCUGUUUCUAGUAAAAUACAAAAUAGGGCUAGGAAUGUGGUAGUGCCCCUGAGUUUAAUCCCUGGUAUCCCAAACCAAAAAUUAACAACAACAACAACAACAAAAAUGGUGCUACCCUUGAUUCAGUAGCUGCAUAAUUAUUAAAUUUGUUAAUAAAAUUGGGCUCUGUGCAACACUGUUCAUGAUUUGGAUUUUUGGUAGAUAGGUAGUUUUCAAUGGCCUCUUCUUCAGUCAGUGGUGGUUAACAGUUUAUUCAGAGUAAUUCUUUUUGCCACUAGAUGGUGCUUGUCCCUGUAUUUGCGAGGCUUUUCUAUACAAAGUUACAUUAUUUGGGGAAAAGCAGUAGGAUUGCAUAUUGCUAUUGAUAUUCAUACACACCCUGUGGAUGAGAUAUUUUAAGGUUAAAUUAUAGGGUAAGGGGAGCAUUUAGAUGAGAAUUUUACAGUUCUUUUAGAUCACUGUGUUUACUUAAUGCCCUUUAGUUUAAAAAUGAGAAAAAUUAAUGAAAUUAUUGUAUUCCUUUUUUUUUUUGAGAGGUACAUAAAGUUGGGCCUAGAUUAACUCAUGAGUUUGUUAGAACUAUUAAAAUAAUAAAGUAAGUUGUAGGCCCACAUACUGUCUAGUCGAUUUUUCAAUGUAGUCAGAAAACCUUAGGAGACAAUUCACACUCAGACAUUCUAAUAAUGGAUAAUCAGCGUCAUAUAUAAUUCAGUGCCUCUCAUUUUGAACUAUAAUGACUGUGAAAAAAUGUGCAGCAUUUUCUGUACCUGAUGAAAUCCUGUAAACACCAAGCUGCCUAACAUGGUAAUACAUAGAUAAAAGAUGGUCUCUCCCAUUCAUGAAUUUAGGAAUGAUUAACUGUGUUUAACUGAGGUUAGUUUCUAUGGUAGGGAUUGUGUAGAAUGAGAGGAAAGGAUCUUCAGAAUUUGUUGCACAGGACUAUUUUAGAUGAGCUGCAGGGGAAACCUGUUAAGAGAUUUUCUACUCACUGUGUUUUCUAUGAAGAGCUGACAUGACCAGUUUGUGAACCAAACUUUGGUGAAAUACAAUUUUAAUUUUUAGAAUUUAUCAAAUAGCACUCAGAACAGUUCUGGGCACUGAAUUAUAUAUGACGCUGAUUAUUCACUAUUAGAAUGUCUGAGUGUGAAUUAUCUGCUAAGGUUUUCUGAUUACAUUGAAAAAUCGACAAGACAGUAUGUGGGCCUACAACUUGCUUUAUUAUUUUAAUAGUUCUAACAAACUCAUGAGUUAAUCUAGGCCCAACUUUAUGUACCUCUCAAAAAAAAAAGGAAUACAAUAAUAUCAUUAAGAUUUCUCAUUUUUAAAAAGUAAAUAUGUUUAUGUUUAAACUUAAGAGCUAUUAUAGUAGAAAAUGGGGUGACUCUGCUUAUUCAUUCUAAUUUAAAUGGAAAAUGAGGAUAGGGGACAGGGGUUAGUGACAAAUUGAGAGUUGGUCCUAGCAAAGCAGAGUCAGUCAAUUGAGAGCUGGUGGUUAGAUAGGGUGAGGAGUUGGUUUUCAAGCAACAGGAACUGACUCUGACUAAGAACAAGUGAAAAAAUUUUGAAUCUAAUGAAAAACUGAAGAAUUAGAUUUCAGAAAUGACAAAUGUAGAAUGUCUUCAGGGAUCUAGGUAGCAGGAAAUGAUGAAUAGUCUUCUUGGAAUGAAAUAGUUUUCAUAGUGAAUGAAUUCAAGCUACUUAAUUUUUUCUUUUCUUUUUCUUUUUAACCCUGCUAAAGAGAUUGUGAGAGCAUGAGCAUCCAUGUCCCAAUCCUUAUUAGUAUCAGAUGAGAUGGGGAAAGCUAAUGUUGGUGGGGAGGCAGGCUUUGGGGGAAGACUGGAUUUACAUGUGUUAAGUUGGAGAUAUUCAGACAUUCAAACUGAGAUAGCAAGUGGGUAUGGGUUGGAGGUAGAGAGAACAAAUUUUGGAUACAUGAGUUUAUAGGAGUAUUUGAUGUCAUAGGAGUAGAUGUGCUUAUGGAAGGAGAAAGUAUACAUAAGAAGGUUUCAUUGCCUUUUGGGGCUUUCCAACCCAAAAAAGUUGGGAAAAAGAGAAAGCACCUGCAGAGGAAGUUGAGAGGGGUAAUUAAGAAUUUCUUAGUCAGACCUUUUAGUGAGAAUCACACAUAUAAAUAUGUUAUCUUCUGAUCUCCAGCCAGACUCCUCAGCCAGACUCCUUUCAAGUCCUUACUUUUUUAGCAGGACACUAGCCAGAGCCCAAGAAUUUAUAUAAAGUCUGAUCCUGUGCCUUAUUUUCUUGCAGACAAAGGGAGAAAAUCUAUUACUUGAAAAAUCUCCCUUCCUCACUGUUUUUAGUCCAAAGAAGGGGUUUAAACUAUGAAUGAGUGUUUGUAUGUUAGAUUUAGAGACCUCUAAAUGGGACUGGUAUUUUCCAUCUUUUGCCAGCUAACAGAUUCCCCAUGAAGCGAGAUGUAGUUGAGGUACAGGAGUCCAUCUGCAGGAGUAGGCUCCCGGGGAGUGUGCCUCCUGGCACGCAGCCUCCUUGGCCUUCAGGCCUGUUGUGGCAUCUGUCCUAGCUAUUCAAAGCUGUCGCAAUAAAACUCCUUUUUCAAUAAUGUUCUGUGCUUAGUCCCAUAUUCUUGUUCUGGCAAGUGGCCUCUGGUUUGGUUCCAACUCUGUACCACUCACUAAAAUUCAUCAUAUCAAAUUCCUGUAAGAUUGCUCUUGGCACCCAGUUUGAGAAAGGGGGUGGGGGAAAAGAUAGAUAGAUAGAUAUGGGGAGGGGAAAAGGAGGAGAGGAAAGUGGAGGUUUGGGGAAGAGAGAAAGAGAGAGAGGCCCACAGGCACAGACAUUACUGACCUUACUACUUGCUCAGACAGAACCUGUCACUAGAGUCUCAUUUACUUCUGGAGUGGAUCUCUCUCUACUACCUGAAAUCAUGUACUGUAACUACACUAUUUCUUAUUUUCUGAAAAUUACCUAGCCAUUCCUAACACUAUGAACAAUUUUUCUCUUUUUUUAGAGAUGGGUUUCUGUUCCUCUUCUACAGGGACAGUCCUUUGGUGAGUAGUUCUGUCUUUGUAAUAAGUCCUGUGCUGAUGGUACAUCUUAUCCUCAACACACAGGCUCAGUAUAAUUCAAGUGCCAUUUUCAACCUCCAAGGCCUCUGUAGUAGUCAGGUUGCUCUUCAUAUGUAUGUCAGAACAUAUUCUGUACCUUAGCUGUGCACUGAGAUUUUUAAUAACUCUAGAUAUUCCAAUCAGAAGAAGGUUACAUCUGGUCCCAAUUGGUGGCUUCCACCAGCUGUUCCGUGAAUCAGCCUAGAGGCCUACCCUGAUGAAGCUUGUGAACACAGACCCCUCUUCAGAAUUUAGGUUUUAUUAUGUUUUCCUGAGUCAUUUAACAUAUUGUGAGCUGUAGGUUUUAGAGUUAAAUUUAUUUUAAUUUUCACUAUAAAGCAAAUUGAUCUUUGUGGACAAUGUAUUCUAAUAUUAUUAUGAGCACUAGAGGGCACUCUGUAAAAGAUGAAGCAGUUUUUCAUUUCUUGAUUUUUGAAAUAUCUGUUAUAGCUAUUGAAAUAAUUGAGGCGAGUCAUUAAAAACUAUUAUAUUGUAAUCAAGUAUGCAAGGAAUAAAUCAUUAUCUCUAAAGGAUACAUAACAUACUUCUCAUCCUUGACGAAGGACAAGAAUGACCAUUAUUCCUUGAAUUGACUACUUUGCCUCAAGAUGUACUUCUAAAAUGCUCAUGUUAAAAAUGACAGUCUUGGAGAUAAAUAGUAUGAAAACAUUAUUUAUUUAUUCACUGAAUACUCACUGAUGAUUUACUCUAUUGUAAGCUUCCUAAGGGACACAAAUAUGGUGGAUAAUAAAUUAUAAUAAAGUAUGAUGUUAUCAAAUAGAAACAUGGUAUAUAAGCCACACACAAAAUUUUAACUUUUUAGAAGAUACAUUAACAAAGUAAAAAGAACCAGGUGAAAUUGAUUUUGGCAAUAUCGUUUAUAUAUAUAACCCAAUAUAGCAAAAAUACCAUUAUUUCAAAGUGUACUAAAUAUAAAGAAAAAUUAUUGCAAGUUGAAUAUCUUUUAUCAGAAAUGCUUGGGACUAAAAGUAUUUUGGAUUUAGGAUUUAAAAAAAGAUUUUAGAAUAUUUACAUAUAUGAAAUGAAAUAUCUUGAUAUCUUGGUGUUGGGACCCAAGUCUAAACACAAAAUUGAUAUAUGUUUCAUAUAUACCUUAAUGUCCAUAGCCUGAAGGCAAUUUCAUAUAAUAUUUUUAGUGUGCCUACAUUUUGGCUGUGACCAGUCGUGUGAGAUCAGAUAUGGAAUUUUCCACUUUGUGGGCUUGUGCCAGCACUCAGAAUCCUUCAAUAUUUUGAGUAUUUUGAUUUUUAAAUUUUUGGAUUAGAGACUCAUACUGGUUAUUUAUGAGAUUUACACUCUUUUUUUGUACUAAAACUUUGAAAUCCAACGUGUACUUUAUACUUAUAAUAUGUCUUCUCUUGGAUUUGUCAGAUUUCAGCUGCUCAGUAAUCACACCUAGCUGUGGCUUCCCUUUUGCACAGCACAGCUCUGGGGCCCAGUCUUCUGGACAGGCUGCAUUCUAGAAAUUUAGUAAUAGCCUCACUCUCCUCAUUGAGGCUUUAUGUGUGUGUGUGUGUGUGUGUGUGUGUGUGUGUGUGUGUGUAUGGUUCUGGGGAUGGAACCCAGGGCCUUGUGCAUGUGAGGCAGGCACUCUACCAACUGAGCUAUAUCCCUAGCCCCAUGAGGCAUCUUUUAUAUUACCAAAAAAUUUACCCAUUGAAGUGUACAAUUCUCUCACCUACCUUUUAAGAAAACAGCAUCUACUCUUGUUCCCAGGAUGUAGUAUCUUCUCUUGCUUCUCCAAGGUUCUUUUUGUAAAAUUUCCUUUUCUGUUUUUAUAGUCUCUAUAUUGUCCACAUUUAUUUUUAAAGAAAAAAGCAUUUUGUUUGCCCCCACCCCCACACUAUCUCUUCUGCUUGGAAAUAUCCUCAUGUGUCUGGUUUUCCUUGAUGAGUAGAAAACUGUAUGUGGGUCCUUAGGGGUGAGGAGAUGGGUUAGCAUUUAACCUUUGAUUUCUCUAUUGAAUGAGCAAAUAAGUGAAAAUGAUUAAAUUCUCUUCCAACUUCUUCUUCAUCCAUCUUAAGCCGGUUUCUUUCUAGAUUGGAUAAACUUUACCCUUCUACUUUUGUUCAACAUGUUAGUUCUGAGUGUACCCAAGAGUCCCCUUCCUCUAGAGCUUAGUAGUCUGGUUUUGUUUUGUUCUGUUUUGUGUACACAUGGGGAAACUACCUUUUAAAAAAGGUUAAAAUGACUUAGGUUUCUAUAACUCCACUAAAAAAAAAAAAGAAAAGAAAGAAAGAAAGGAAGGUAGAAAAUGGGUGAACUUUUUUUUUCCCCUCUGUGUUAUAUAAAUAGCAGCAUGCAAGCACAGAUCUAUUCUGCACUCUUCCCUAGAAAUCUUCAAGGCUCACACCCGUACUCCUUUCCAGGCUUCUAAUCAAAACUCACCUUCUCAGUUAAGCCUUCCUUGACCUUUAUAAUUAUAAGUUCCCUCCCAUACUCAUCUGUAUACCCUGGUAUUCCCUAUUCUCUUUCCUUGCUUUGGUUUUUCUUUAGUACACUUAUCACCUGAAAUUCUAUAUACUUUACAUCUGUCUCUUUCCCUUCAAAAUGAGAGCAGAUUUUUUAGAUGUUUAAUUGAAUAUAACACUAAUACAGAAAAGAAUUCGUAAGUUUGCAGCUUGAUGAAUUUUCACAAAAUGACAUACCCACGUCAUUGUGUCCCAGAUUAAGAAAUUGAGCAUAGCAGCAUGCCAGAGGUUUUCCUCAUACUUUUCCCUAUUCACUAACACUUACCCAAGCCUUUUUUCAAAGGCUACUACUACUCUCUGGUUUUCUAUAUCAUGCAUUAGUUUUGCAUUUUAUAUAAAUGGAAUAAGUGCACAAUGUAUUUUUGUCCAGUUUUCCUUACCUCAACAUUAUAUUAAGUUUCAUCUGUGAAGUUGUAUCAAUAGUUUGUUCAUUUGCAUUGAUGUUGUAUCAAUAGUUUGUUCAUUCCAGUACUUCAUUGUAUGAUCACAAUUUAUUUAUUCAUCCUGUUGUUGAUGAAUAUGGGCGGUUUCCAAUUGGACUUUUAGCUAUUAUAAUUAUCUUUUGUUUUGAAAAAGCCUGUAAGGAUCUUAGGCUAUUAUUUUUUAUACCCUUAUAAAUGCUUCCUUUGAGGCAAUAAACAGGGCUGUCUACCUGCUUAGAUUUGGGAAAGCAGCAAUGUUAUCCAGCCAUCUUUUUUUUAAAAUUUUUUUUAGUUGUAGUUGGACUCAGUAUCUUUAUUUUAUUUAUUUACUUAUUUUUAUGUAGUGCUGAGGAUCAAACCCAGAACCUUGCACAUGCUAGGCAAACGCUCCACAACCCCAGUCCUCCAGCCACAUUAGUAUCCUCCACUAACUGAGCUCCUUGGGAACACCUAAUCAUCUUUGAAGCAGCAGUGUUUGGCGUGGAAGAUCACAUAAUGAUCUAAAGACUGUUUCUGAGGGAUCACAUAAGUUUUUAUUUUCAGAAUGAAACUAGGGAGAGGAGUUUAUAGAAGAAUCAGAGAUUAAAUGGAGUUUACCAUGUAGAAACUUCAAAACCAGCAAUAAGAGUAGUUUUAAAUGUAUUUGAAGACAGAAAUUUAGCUAAGGAAUGGUAGUACCCUUUGAUUAUGUUGUAAAACAUUUGCAGAUAGAAAAGCAGAUGACAAGCAUAUCAAUUUUUUCAUUACUGUAAUAUAGGUAUUAGGAGAUAGAGGCCUAAUUUCUAGGUUUUUAAUUAUGGUAAAAUAUAUAUAAUGUAACUUUUACCAUCUAAACCAUUUUUAAGUUUACAGUUCUGUAGUACUGAGUACACUCAUGUUGUACAACCAUCACUACCACCCACCUCCCAAACUUUUCAACUUCUCCAACUGAAGCUCAGUCUUCUUUCCAGCCCUUGACAACACCAUUCUGCUUACUGUCCCAAUGAACUGGACUACUCUAGGAGCCUCAUGUAAGAGCGGUCAGACAAUAUGAUUCCUCUUAUGACUGAAUUAUUUAAUUUAGCAUAAUGUCUUCAAGAUUUUAAAUUUUCUUCUGAGGUAAACAGUUUGGAGGAUGUUUUAUGCUUAGUGUGCACAAGGCCCUGGGUUUAAUCCUUAGCAUAAAACAAACUAACAAAAAUAAAUCAACAUUUUGAAAUAUAUUUUAUAUGUCAGUUUAAAAUUGAAAAACAUGUCAACUCUUAAAAAAAAAAAACCAAACCCAGAAAACAAACAAACAAAAAAGAUAUUUUCCCAAGUAUCAAAGAAACUUCUAGAUAUAAUUGUUUGCCAAAGUAUGUAAACUCCUAUUGACUAGUGAUUUUUAUACAUAAUAAAUAGUAGAAUCAUUGACUAAAGAAGCAACUGUGACUCUUGGGUGGGGUAUAUUGGGGGGGUUAGCCUGAUUUUUAUAAUAGAAUCUACUGGAUGUAUCUGAGAGGAUAUAUUUACCUUCAAACAAGCAGAAACCAAUGGACACAAUAUUUUUAGAUUUAAAAAGCCUUUGGUGAUAUUUGUAUGCUUAAGACUUAAAAAUGAAUUCAGUAUGGCAUUAGAUGGAGUAUUUUGACAUGGAGAUCUAUCUAGGUACCACAAUGGAAAAAAGAAGUAAGUAUGCAGUUGUGGAACAGGAAGAUUUAGCAGUGGUUUCUGUUGGAAAACUGAUGCUGGCAAUAUAUGUUAUAUUUUUUGUCCUUUUAAAUAAAUGACUGGAUGAUGAACCAGUCAUCUUCUGUUUGCUCUUUCAGAUUCAUAUCUCACCCUUUUCCAGCUCUGUGUCCUGCCCUGGAAAGUGCCAGUACUGACUCCUGCAGUCAUCCAUCUUGCCUCUCACUUCUGGUAGCAUAUAGUCAACGGGAAGGAGCUGGUAGGAGGUGGGAGGGAGUAGGGGAGUGAGUCAUCUGGCUGGGACUCUCCACCAAACCUUUUUC